rnacentral:rRNA from 1 species
UCUGUUUGAUCCUAGCUCAGGAUGAACGCUAGCGGUAUGCUUAACACAUGCAAGUCGUACGGAAAAGAAAUUUUUAGUGGCGAACGGGUGAGUAACACGUGAGAAUCUGCCCUUAGGAAGAGGAUAACAUUUAGAAACAUUUGCUAAUACUCUAUAUGCCUUGCGGUGAAAGAAUUUAUUCGCCUAAGGAGGAGCUCGCGUCUGAUUAGCUAGUAGGUGGGGUAAAGGCCUACCUAGGCGACGAUCAGUAGUUGGUCUGAGAGGACGGCCAGCCACAUUGGAACUGAGACACGGUCCAGACUCUUACGGGAGGCAGCAGUGAGGAAUUUUCUGCAAUGGGCGCAAGCCUGACAGAGCAAUACCGCGUGAGGGAUGACUGCCUACGGGUUGUAAACCUCUUUUCUCAAGGAGGAAGAUCUGACGUUACUUGAGGAAUAAGCAUCGGCUAACCCUGUGCCAGCAGCCGCGGUAAUACAGGGGAUGCAAGUGUUAUCCGGAAUUAUUGGGCGUAAAGCGUCUGCAGGUUGAUCUAUAAGUCUUUUGUCAAAUCUUUGGGCUUAACCCAAAAACAGCAAAAGAAACUAUUUAUCUUGAGUAUGGUAGAGGUAAAGGGAAUUUCAAGUGGAGCGGUGAAAUGCGUAGAUAUUUGAACGAACUCCAAUAGCGAAGGCACUUUACUGGGCCAUUACUGACACUCAGAGACGAAAGCUAGGGGAGCAAACAGGAUUAGAUACCCUGGUAGUCCUAGCUGUAAACUAUGGAUACUAGAUGUUGCAUAUUAUAUAUAC